GGAGACGUUCGGGGUCUGGUGGCCCCCACGGCCUUCAAAGCCGAUGGCGCCGAGCACCUCGGCGCGGCGGGUUCGAUUCCCGUCCGUCUCCGCCA
rnacentral:tRNA from 1 species